GUUUUAAUAGUUUAAAAUAAAACAUUGGUCUUGUAAAUCAAUAAUAAGAUUUAUUCUUUUAAAACU
rnacentral:tRNA from 2 species